CAGCAGCCGCGGGAACACGGAGGGAGCUAGCGUUGUUUGGAAUUACUGGGCGUAAAGCGCGCGUAGGCGGUUACUCAAGUCAGAGGUGAAAGCCCGGGGCUCAACCCCGGAACUGCCUUUGAAACUAGGUGACUAGAAUCUUGGAGAGGUCAGUGGAAUUCCGAGUGUAGAGGUGAAAUUCGUAGAUAUUCGGAAGAACACCAGUGGCGAAGGCGACUGACUGGACAAGUAUUGACGCUGAGGUGCGAAAGCGUGGGGAGCAAACAGGAUUAGAUACCCCAGUAGUCCCUGUCUCUUAUAC
rnacentral:rRNA from 1 species